rnacentral:rRNA from 1 species
CCUACGGGCGGCAGCAGUGGGGAAUAUUGCGCAAUGGGCGAAAGCCUGACGCAGCGACGCCGCGUGAGGGAUGAAGGUCCUCGGAUCGUAAACCUCUGUCAGGAGGGAAGAACCGCCACGGUGCUAAUCAGCCGUGGUCUGACGGUACCUCCAAAGGAAGCACCGGCUAACUCCGUGCCAGCAGCCGCGGUAAUACGGAGGGUGCGAGCGUUAAUCGGAAUCACUGGGCGUAAAGCGCACGUAGGCUGCUUGGUAAGUCAGGGGUGAAAGCCCGCGGCUCAACCGCGGAAUUGCCUUUGAUACUGCCGAGCUAGAGUCCGGGAGAGGGUAGUGGAAUUCCAGGUGUAGGAGUGAAAUGCGUAGAUAUCAGGAAGAACACCAGUGGCGAAGGCGGCUCUCUGGCCUGAAACUGACGCUCAGGUACGAAAGCUGGGGUAGCAAACGGGAUUAGAUACCCUGGUAG